UGUUCUGGAGACCAACCGAGCGAGAGUCGGAUCACCAGGGAGAGCUCACCGCCAGGAAAGGGAGAGCUGCGGCAGCUAGCGUCCGAGAGGGAGGAUCGAGGCGAGGAAUCCGAUCCAGCGAGCGAGGCCCUUAAGCCCAAGAACCGAUCAUAUAGACAUUGGGUGCUUUCCAGCAAGGAGACACAGAAAGACACUGUGUCACACAAUUGAACACAGUAUCUUAACCUUACUUAUGAAUCAUCACUACUGUAUCCUGUAUCAUUAUAAGGUUAUAUUACAUCGUACACUUUGGCAUAAAUCAGCAGUUUCUUAUUUUUUAAUAUAUUGUAAAUAUAUUAAAAAUAUAUU